rnacentral:rRNA from 1 species
CCUACGGGAGGCAGCAGUAGGGAAUUUUCCACAAUGGGCGAAAGCCUGAUGGAGCAACGCCGCGUGGGUGAAGAAGGUCUUCGGAUCGUAAAACCCUGUUGUUAGAGAAGAAAGUGCGUGAGAGUAACUGUUCACGUUUCGACGGUAUCUAACCAGAAAGCCACGGCUAACUACGUGCCAGCAGCCGCGGUAAUACGUAGGUGGCAAGCGUUAUCCGGAUUUUUUGGGCGUAAAGGGAACGCAGGCGGUCUUUUAAGUCUGAUGUGAAAGCCUUCGGCUUAACCGGAGUAGUGCAUUGGAAACUGGGAGACUUGAGUGCAGAAGAGGAGAGUGGAACUCCAUGUGUAGCGGUGAAAUGCGUAGAUAUAUGGAAGAACACCAGUGGCGAAGGCGGCUCUCUGGUCUGUAACUGACGCUGAGGUUCGAAAGCGUGGGUAGCAAACAGGAUUAGAUACCCCAGUAGUC